GAUUUGACGAGUAAGUGGCUGAAAUGAGUUGUCCAGACAUUAACAGAUGGGGAUGAAGGGAAAAACCAACAUGAAGUCACACAGAGAGUGUCAUGGAAGCCGUGUGACAAACCCUCAAUCCGUUUGGGAGAAAAUCAGAGUAAAGUUGUCCAGUGAGGGAAUGGCAAUAUUUCUCAGUAAAAUGCACCUGCGAGCGCUCGGCAUGCUGGGUAAAAUAACACUGGAUUCCGGGAAACGGGGGCCUAUUUGGAGUCUUUGCAAAACAACAUCUGCCAGUUUGCGCAGCUGAGCUGUGUUUGUUUUGUCAGGCAAGUCAUUCAGUAACUUCUCGUCUGUGAGUGAAUCACCGGCUCAGCCCACCGAGUGCAACUGUUACAUAAGAAGUGUCCACUACCCCAGCUGACCCAACUGGCCAAUCAUGAGUGACGGGAAUGGAAUGGAACUUAGAAUGUUCAGAGAAAUUCUAAAGGGAUGUUCCCUUUAUGUUUGCGGAAUGAUGAAAUGGAAUGUGCACAUGCAUAACCAAAAAAAAA